UCCGCCUGGCUUGACUGCGUGUUCCGCGACUCCCCCGCUCCGCUAUCCUCGGGCUGAAGAAGCUGCUGUGUCCGUGCGGGGCGCUUCGCUUCUCCGUGCGGCUUCGGCAGCCUUCGUUCAGUCGGUUGCUGUAUGAACAACAUAUGGUUCAGGCACCUGAGUCAGUGUCCCCUCUCUGCCGACCCUCCUGCAUGAUAGAUGCCACCAGCCGAUAGAAGACAUUUAAGAAGGAUGGAGCUGCCUUGGAUAUCACCUGGAGACACACAAACUUGUCUCCAGUCCUGCUGUGGACGGAUGGAGGUAAAGAGCAGCAGGAAGAACAUAAAUGAGGCAGGGAUGAAGUCACCAGCCCUAGUUGGAGCUCAGCAGUGGUUUCCAUCAACUUAAACAUGCUUUAUGCCAAUCCACCCCUACCUCUUUUUACACCACCUCCCUCUCAAGUCUCCUCUCUCCAUAUUACACCCAUACUUUUGCAUUUUGGACCAGAUCCUUCUGUGUCCUGAUUAAAUCAAAUGCUUUAACCCAUCAUCUCCAGCUUCCUUUCUCAUUUCCAAAUCAUCCCUUCUCUUCCUCUAUAAAAUUACUCUGCUUUAUUUUCUCUUCCUCCAUUUUCGUGAUGUCUUUUCUCCCUACAAACAUCUGACAGCACUUAACUGGUUCUUGGCCAAUUUAAUUCAAACCAGCUGCCUCAUUUGAAUUCUGCUUAGUCAUUUUAUAGAGUUAAAAAUUUUCUCAUUGGGACAAAGACAAAAAAAAAGCUAUUGUGUGGCCUGGAAUAUAAAUACUCUCAUUUGAGAAUAAUCUAAAUGUUUCAGUUUAAGGGAAAAAUGCUCUUUUUAACUUAGCUGACCCUUUGGGGCAAAACACAAACUUUUAGAGAAGCUGAAAAUGUGAACAUCACAAGGUUUCCAUGCUCAUGAAGUACAAUUGUACAGAACUGCAAUAUCCUCUUGUUGAAAGCGACAUUCCUGUGUGGAGUAUCCCGAGGGCUCAGCAGCAAGACAUACCACAUUUUCUUCAUAUUAUAGAUGCAUAGCACAAUUCACCUAUACCAACUUUCAAAACAUGACGGCAAACAAUGGGUUUCUUAUGCAAGACACAGCUUGCAGAAGAUCAGAUACAGAUACAUCUUUUUAAAAAGCAAAACUGGCCGGAAAAUGUAACCUUCAGUUGUAUUUAAAAGGUGGUAUUUGUUAUUCUGACCAGGUGCUGUCUCUAGGGAAAGGCUAGGCUUGUUCAAAUAUUAAAUCCUCCCACUACUCGAUUACAUCUCCACAGAUGGAUGUGGUAUACUAUUCAAAAUGUUACAGGGGCUUUGCAAAAAGGGUGUAAACAUUAUUUUUUUUUAGCACUAGACACAGUUUUAGGAAUCUAAUCAAUAUUUAUGCUUUUAACCACAGCAAAAGGAGACUUUGUCUGUGUUUGAGUUUUUCUAAGAUGUGUUUACAGCCCCAAACUCUGUACAUUCAGACUCGGGGCUAAAAGGGUUAAUGAUUUUGAUGCAAUUGAAGCCACAGGCCUACAGAGCACAGACAGACUGAGGCCAAGAGUGAAUUAGUCGGGGUAUCUGCUUCCAGCAGGAGUGUUACACUCCAUCUAGAAGGCACAUCGAGAAGCCACAUGAUCCAAAGCACAGCUCAUGAUCAGCUCAUGAUCCAAAGCAUGUCAAAUCUUCUGUAAAACAUGGUGGAGGUGUGAUGGUGUGAUGGGCAUGCAUGGCUGCCAGUGGCGCUGGGACACUAGAGUUUAUUGAUGAUGUGACAGAGAUGUUCAGAGACAUACUGUCUGCUCAGAUCCAGCUAAAUUUGAUGAAACAAUUGGGUGGCAUUUGAAAAUACAGAUGAAAAAUAAAUUAAAGAGGAGAAAACUCAGCGUCUCAUGAUGUCCAUGAGCCCAAGACUUUAGGCUGUAAUUGCCAGCCAAGGCUUUUCAACAAGUAUGAGCAAUUUACAUUUUAUUUUCAGUUAUGUAAUUUGUCGAAUUACUUUUAAGCCCCUGACAUGAAGGGAUUGUUUUUUACAGUGUAAAUAAGGAUCUGGUCCAUGCAAAUGUAUGCAACAGCUGCCCUGUACAAUUUCUGUCUGUCUGGUACUUUUGCUGAAUAUUUUCAUUAGUGAUCAAUUACAGCAUCAGGGUAGGUUAGUACAGAUUUCUAUUUUUUCUGCUAUAAUUAGUCUCCAAUGCCUUUACAACUAAACGGAGGAGAAAUGAAGGGAGGGGGUACCGGUUUGUUUCGUUGCUUCACUAUUUAUUUGAAAUUUUCCUGCACUGAUUCGUACUGCGGCAGAAGGGAGCGUUCGUUGCAUGGUUUGAACUCUGCAAUUUGGAAGCGCAUCUCGACGAGGGAGCUCAGACUAACAGAACACCGUCAAAGAGCUGUCUGUGUCCGUGAAGCUAAUAUUUAAACAGAUAGCAUUAGCUCAUGCUGUCUGGGAGGUUUAAAACUUCACUGUUGCAGAUACCAGAGCUUUACUGCGACAUCUUUUAGCAUUUUGUUUUUUUUCCUAUCUGUCUGCCUCAUCGGGAAAGUUCCUUUGAACAACAGUUUGUGUUUGCCUGGUUGGCUAAAGAGGUUAGCAUAGAGCGUCUGAGUGUCUCUGAUGUUACAGUGCUGCUGCUGGAAGAAGUGUGACAAUCUGGACAAUUAUGUCU